rnacentral:rRNA from 1 species
GAUGAACGCUAGCGGCAGGCUUAAUACAUGCAAGUUGAGGGGCAGCAUGAUAUACGCGAGUAUAUUGAUGGCGACCGGCGGACGGGUGAGUAAUAGGUAGGAGACCUACCUCAUACAGGGGGAUAGCAUAGAGAAAUCUGUGGUAAUACCCCAUGAGGUUAUAUGAAUAGAGGCAUAUAAUCAAAGCAUAAGCGAUUAUGCGGUAUGAGAGGGGCCUACUGACCAUUAGCUAGUUGGUGAGGUAAGGGCUCACCAAGGCGAAGAUGGUUAGGGGUUUUGAGAGAGAGACCCCCCACAUUGGAACUGAGAGACGGUCCAGACUCCUACGGGAGCAGCAGUAGGGAAUAUUGGGCAAUGGGCGAAAGCCUGACCCAGCGACGCCGCGUGGAGGAAGAAGUCCUUCGGGGCGUAAACUCCUGGACUGGGGACGAGGAAGGACGGUACCCGACGUAGAAAGGGACGGCUAACUACGUGCCAGCAGCCGCGGUAAAAUAGCGUA